AGGGGGACAACCAGGGGAAACUUUGGCUAAUACCGCGUAAUCUCGAGAGAGUAAAAGCUGGCUUCGGCUGGCACUGAAAGAGAGGCCUGCGUCCGAUUAGUUUGUUGGUGAGGCAACGGCUCACCAAGACUGUGAUCGGUAACUGGUCUGAGAGGACGACCAGUCACACUGGGACUGAGACACGGCCAG
rnacentral:rRNA from 1 species